rnacentral:rRNA from 1 species
GGAGGAAAGCAGGGGAUCGUAAGACCUUGCGCUUUUGGAGUGGCCGAUGCCUGAUUAGCUAGUUGGUGGGGUAAGGGCCUACCAAGGCAACGAUCAGUAGUUGGUCUGAGAGGACGACCAGCCACACUGGGACUGAGACACGGCCCAGACUCCUACGGGAGGCAGCAGUGGGGAAUUUUGGACAAUGGGCGAAAGCCUGAUCCAGCAAUGCCGCGUGAGUGAAGAAGGCCUUCGGGUUGUAAAGCUCUUUCAGUCGGGAAGAAAAGGUUGUGACUAAUAAUCACAACUUAUGACGGUACCGACAGAAGAAGCACCGGCUAACUACGUGCCAGCAGCCGCGGUAAUACGUAGGGUGCGAGCGUUAAUCGGAAUUACUGGGCGUAAAGGGUGCGCAGGCGGCUUUGUAAGUCAGAUGUGAAAUCCCCGGGCUUAACCUGGGAAUUGCGUUUGAAACUACAAAGCUAGA